GAACUUGGUUGACCCUCCGCAGUUUCCUCCUUGCUGUCCCGGGACGCCGUCCUAAGGGAGGAAAUUAUCUCAAAACCAAGGUUGAAUUUUAGCCUCCUUCCCUGGGGUCCCCCAGCGGUGACAGCUCCUGGCAGGGAGUCAUCUCUGGAUAAAGUCCUUGGGCCUCCUGCCUGAAGAUGACCUCUUGGGGCCAUCUCAGCCCCCAGAAGCGCCCUCCAAGGAUGAGGAGGGCCCCAGAAACUUUGGCUCCUUCUGAACUGAACUAUCGGGGUGUCCUGGAUCAGCUCCGGCAAGAGUUCCCCAGGUUCCCCCCUCACCUGACGGCGC